UGGGGAAUAUUGCACAAUGGGCGCAAGCCUGAUGCAGCCAUGCCGCGUGUGUGAAGAAGGCCUUCGGGUUGUAAAGCACUUUCAGCGGGGAGGAAGGCGUUAAGGUUAAUAACCUUGGCGAUUGACGUUACCCGCAGAAGAAGCACCGGCUAACUCCGUGCCAGCAGCCGCGGUAAUACGGAGGGUGCAAGCGUUAAUCGGAAUUACUUGGCGUAAAGCGCACGCAGGCGGUCUGUCAAGUCGGAUGUGAAAUCCCCGGGCUCAACCUGGGAACUGCAUUCGAAACUGGCAGGCUAGAGUCUUGUAGAGGGGGGUAGAAUUCCAGGUGUAGCGGUGAAAUGCGUAGAGAUCUGGAGGAAUACCGGUGGCGAAGGCGGCCCCCUGGACAAAGACUGACGCUCAGGUGCGAAAGCGUGGGGAGCAAACAGG
rnacentral:rRNA from 1 species